rnacentral:rRNA from 1 species
CAGUAGCCGCGGUAAUACGGAAGGUCCAGGCGUUAUCCGGAUUUAUUGGGUUUAAAGGGAGUGUAGGCGGUCUGUUAAGCGUGUUGUGAAAUUUAGGUGCUCAACAUUUAACUUGCAGCGCGAACUGGCGGACUUGAGUGCACGCAACGUAUGCGGAAUUCAUGGUGUAGCGGUGAAAUGCUUAGAUAUCAUGACGAACUCCGAUUGCGAAGGCAGCGUACGGGAGUGUUACUGACGCUUAAGCUCGAAGGUGCGGGUAUCGAACAGGAUUAGAUACCCCCGUAGUCCCUGUCUCUUAUAC